rnacentral:lncRNA from 1 species
CAAUUAAUUAAUUAACACUCUAAAUAAAUAAAAUAAAAUAUAGUAAUAAUAAUAUAAGAAAUAAUUACUAAAAUUGGGUUGUUACGGUCCACUCAAAAAUUAGAAAAAAAAAACAAAUAAUUAAUUAGAAACUAAUUAGAUGAAAAUUAAAUACUAAUUCUAAAAAUAAAUAAAUAACAAGUAGACACAAAGAAGUGCACAUCAAAUUAUAUUUGGGCCGAAUCUAA